rnacentral:lncRNA from 1 species
CCAAUGUGGCCAGAGGGUGUUCCAGAAAGUGCAUCAGUUCAGGCAAUAUUGGACUGGCAGAAGAGAACAAUGGAGAUGAUGUACAAGGACAUUAUUCAGGCACUCAGAGCUAAGGGAAUCGAUGAAGAUCCUCGAAACUAUUUGACAUUCUUCUGCCUUGGCAACCGGGAAGUGAAGAAACCAGGAGAAUAUGAGCCUUCUGAGCAACCAGAUCCUGAUUCAGAUUAUCAGAGAGCCCAAGAGGCCCGACGAUUCAUGAUUUAUGUUCAUACCAAGAUGAUGAUAGGUAAGUUGGAAAAUUAUACUGCCAUUGUUUUUGAAAAACAAUCUUACAAAUAAUUUACAUUUUGAAGCCACAAUAUUCUAUACUUUUAUCAUUAUUGUCAAGAUUAUACAUGUUUCGUUCCCUUGCAGUUGAAUAUUCUAUACUUUUAUCAUUAUUGUCAAGAUUAUACAUGUUUCGUUCCCUUGCAGUUGAUGACGAAUACAUAAUCGUUGGAUCUGCCAAUAUCAACCAAAGGUCAAUGGAUGGUGCUAGGGACUCUGAGAUUGCCAUGGGUGCUUAUCAGCCCUAUCAUUUGGCUACCAGGCAGCCAGCACGUGGUCAGAUUCACGGUUUCCGCAUGUCAUUGUGGUAUGAGCACCUUGGCAUGCUUCAUGACUCCUUCCUCCAGCCAGAAAGUGAUGAAUGCAUUAACAAGGUGAACCAAGUUGCUGACAAAUAUUGGGAUCUGUAUUCUAACGAGUCACUUGAGCAUGACCUUCCCGGUCACCUUCUCCGCUACCCCAUCGGGGUUGCCAGUGAAGGAGAUGUCACCGAGCUGCCAGGAUUUGAAUUCUUUCCCGACACCAAGGCUCGCAUUCUUGGUGGCAAAGCUGACUACCUCCCC